AACGAACGCUGGCGGCAUGCCUAACACAUGCAAGUCGAACGAGACCUCCGGGUCUAGUGGCGCACGGGUGCGUAACGCGUGGGAACCUGCCCUUAGGUUCGGAAUAACUCCCCGAAAGGGGUGCCAAUACCGGAUAAUGUCUUCGGACCAAAGAUUUAUCGCCCUUGGAUGGGCCCGCGUUGGAUUAGCUAGUUGGUAGGGUAAAAGACUACCAAGGCGACGAUCAAUAGCUGGUCUGAGAGGCUGAUCAGCCGCACUGGGACUGAGACACGGCCCAGACUCCUACGGGAGGCAGCAGUGGGGGAUAGUGGACAACGGGCGAAAGCCUGAUCCAGCAAUGCCGCGUGAGUGAUGAAGGCCUUGAGGUUGUAAAGCUCUUUUACCCGGGAUGAUAAUGACAGUACCGAGAGAAUAAGCUCCGGCUAACUCCGUG
rnacentral:rRNA from 1 species